AUUUAGAUGACGAGUCCCAAAUAGGACGAAACGUUCCUCCUUGAU
rnacentral:hammerhead_ribozyme from 1 species